AUUAUACCGUGAAACUGCGAAUGGCUCAUUAAAUCAGUUAUCGUUUAUUUGAUUAUACCUUACUACUUGGAUAACCGUGGUAAUUCUAGAGCUAAUACAUGCUGAAAAUCCCGACUUCGGAAGGGAUGUGUUUAUUAGAUAAAAAACCAAUGCCCUUCGGGGCUUUUUGGUGAUUCAUGAUAACUUUACGGAUCGCAUAGCCUUGCGCUGGCGACGGUUCAUUCAAAUUUCUGCCCUAUCAACUUUCGAUGGUAAGGUAUUGGCUUACCAUGGUUUCAACGGGUAACGGGGAAUAAGGGUUCGAUUCCGGAGAGGGAGCCUGAGAAACGGCUACCACAUCCAAGGAAGGCAGCAGGCGCGCAAAUUACCCAAUCCCGACACGGGGAGGUAGUGACAAUAAAUACUGAUACAGGGCUCUUUUGGGUCUUGUAAUUGGAAUGAGUACAAUUUAAACCUCUUAACGAGGAACAAUUGGAGGGCAAGUCUGGUGCCAGCAGCCGCGGUAAUUCCAGCUCCAAUAGCGUAUAUUAAAGUUGUUGCAGUUAAAAAGCUCGUAGUUGAAACUUGGGUCUGGCUGGCGGGUCCGCCUCACCGCGUGCACUCGUCCGGCCGGGCCUUCCUUCUGAAGAACCUCAUGCCCUUCACUGGGCGUGUUGGGGAAUCAGGACUUUUACUUUGAAAAAAUUAGAGUGUUCAAAGCAGGCCUUUGCUCGAAUACGUUAGCAUGGAAUAAUAAAAUAGGACGUGCGUUCCUAUUUUGUUGGUUUCUAGGAACGCCGUAAUGAUUAACAGGAACAGUCGGGGGCGUCAGUAUUCAGUUGUCAGAGGUGAAAUUCUUGGAUUUACUGAAGACUAACUACUGCGAAGGCAUUCGCCAAGGAUGUUUUCAUUAAUCAGUGAACGAAAGUUAGGGGAUCGAAGACGAUCAGAUACCGUCGUAGUCUUAACCGUAAACUAUGCCGACUAGGGAUCGGGCGAUGUUCUUUUUCUGACUCGCUCGGCACCUUACGAGAAAUCAAAGUUUUUGGG
rnacentral:rRNA from 1 species